GUAGUCGAACGGGACCGGGGGCAACUUCGGUUCAGUGGCGGACGGGUGCGUAACACGUGAGGAACAUGACCUUCGGCGGGGGAUAGCCGGCCCAACGGCCGGGUAAUACCGCGUACGACCAUUCGGGGACAUCCCUGGCUGGUGAAAGCAGCAAUGCGCCGAUGGAGUGCCUCGUGGCCUAUCAGCUAGUUGGUGGGGUAACGGCCUACCAAGGCAACGACGGGUAGCUGGUCUGAGAGGAUGGCCAGCCACAUUGGGACUGAGACACGGCCCAGACUCCUACGGGAGGCAGCAGUGGGGAAUAUUGCGCAAUGGACGAAAGUCUGACGCAGCGACGCCGCGUGUGGGAUGACGGUCUUCGGAUUGUAAACCACUGUCGGGAGGGACGAAUACGCCGCAAGGCGGGUGACGGUACCUCCAAAGGAAGCACCGGCUAACUCCGUGCCAGCAGCCGCGGUAAUACGGAGGGUGCGAGCGUUGUCCGGAAUCACUGGGCGUAAAGGGCGCGUAGGCGGCCUGAUAAGUAGGGGGUGAAAUCCUGCGGCUUAACCACAGGGCUGCCUUCUAAACUGUCAGGCUUGAGCACAGUAGAGGCAGGUGGAAUUCCCGGUGUAGCGGUGGAAUGCGUAAAGAUCGGGAAGAACAUCAGUGGCGAAGGCGGCCUGCUGGGCUGUUGCUGACGCUCAAGCGCGACAGCGUGGGGAGCAAACAGGAUUAGAUACCCUGGUAGUCCACGCCGUAAACGAUGGGCACUAGGCGUCGGGGGGAGCGACCCUCCCGGGUGCCGUCGCUUACGCAGUAAGUG
rnacentral:rRNA from 1 species